UACGUAGGUGGCAAGCGUUGUCCGGAAUUACUGGGUGUAAAGGGAGCGUAGGCGGGGAUGCAAGUUGAAUGUUUAAACUAUCGGCUCAACUGAUAGUCGCGUUCAAAACUGCAACUCUUGAGUGAAGUAGAGGUAGGCGGAAUUCCUAGUGUAGCGGUGAAAUGCGUAGAUAUUAGGAGGAACACCAGUGGCGAAGGCGGCCUACUGGGCUUUUACUGACGCUGAGGCUCGAAAGCAUGGGGAGCAAACAGG
rnacentral:rRNA from 2 species